AAAAAUCAAUAGGCAUGGAAAGAAGCGGGAAGAUAUUACCCAUAAUCAAGGGGAAAAUCUAUCAGGAGAAGCAGAUCGCUAAGUGGCAGAGAUGAGGCAAUUAAUAGACAAAGACACAGAAACAGUUAUAAAUAUCCUCUGUGUACUCAAGAAUGCAGAGGAUCAGGAGUGAAAAAGAAGAUACUUUAAAAAGAAAGACUAGAUGGGAUUUACAGCAGAGUGGAUAUUAGAGAGUAAAGAUCAGAGAAGGCAAAUACAGAGACGGGAGAAAAGAACAUCAAGGACUUGUCGGACAAUAGCAAAUGGUCCAGCGUUCAUGUCACUGAAGUCCCAGAAUGAGAAGAGGCAGGAAAAACUUCAAAGAAUAAUGUCCUGAAAUAUUCUGAAUUUGACAGAAACCAACAGAUCGAGGUUCAGUGAACCUGAAGCACAAGGAAACAUAAAGAAAACCACAUCAAGGCACGUCCGAUUAAUAAUUACUUUAAAUGUAAAUGGCCUAAAGACUGCAAACAAAAGGCAGGUAUUAUCAGACUGGGUAAAAAAGCAAGACCCAAAAUAUGCCCUCUAUAAGAACCACGCUUUAAAUAUAAAAACACGGCUGGUUAAAAGUGCGAGAAUGAAAGAGAUAUACCAGCCAAGCACUCCAUAAUACACACAUGAAGUAGCUGUAUCAGUAUCAGACAGAGAAGACCGCAAAAGGACUAUUAGCAGGAUGAUAGGGAAACAUUUCAUAAUAUGCUGCAUUCAGGGGAGGACAGGACAUUCCUGAAUAUGCACGCACUUAAAUAACAGGACUUCGAAAUGCAUGAGGCAGAAACUGAUAGAAUUGCCAGAGGAAGUAGACCACCAUUUGUGCGCAUCCUAUUUAGAAUAUAUUUACAAAUAAUCCACCAUUACAGUUAGAAAAGUUCACAUCCCUCUCUCAGUAGUUGAUAACUGUAGAUAAAAUCGGUAGGGACACAGAAGGUUUAGCAAUGCUGUAAACAAUGUUGACCUAAUUACCAUUUUUUAAAAGACUCCACCCAAAAGCAAGAGUUCUCAACGGUUCCUCUUUCUCUGUGGUUCCCUCCCUGGCUGAGGAACAGCAUUCUUACCCUCUCCUGAUUCCCGAGUAAAUCCGCAGGGGACAUGCUUGCUGUGCACGUGAGAACCUACCGUAUUCUGUGCUCCAAUGGAGUGUUUGUGGACCUCCCUGGACAAAAGGCUGACCCGGCGACCCUGUGCCUCCUGAAAGAAAGGGGGAAUCGCAGAGUGGCAGUCUCAGACCAUGCUGGAAAAGCACCCAGCUGAGACAGAUCCAUGCACCACUCUGGGGCUUUGGGAUUUAGUAUCCUGGUUUAACUGGGGAUAUAGAACUGAUAAAAAUACCUUACCGAAAAGGUAAGCCAGGGCCGUGUGGAAAACCAGAUCCUUCGUCAAGGGCUUAGCUGGAGAAAAUCAAACACGUUAUUGAAAAAAAUCAGAAAACAAGCCAUCAUUUUUUCAAAGGGACACUCACUCUGUCAUAUUCCCAUACCUCCAGCAAGGAGGGAAAGUGACCUUGAGAUAGAGGGUUGGCCCCUGUAGGGCUUUGUACCAGAUCUGAGAGAGGUGAAUGAGUUUGUCGUUUCAUUAAGCUCCAUGGUCCCCCUGCAACUUUUCUGACUUUGAUUCUGUCGCCUACAGUUUUUCUCUACAUUCUGCUGUGUUUUUUUUUUUUCUUCUUCUGUUCCUCUAGCUAAUGAGUUCCAAUUCCCAUUUGCUUUUACCUUUGAAGGAGUCCAGUGUUCAGAGCAAAAUGUUCCUCAGGAUUUGGGGGACUCCUACUGUUUUGUCUAGCCCGUUUAGGGAAAUCUGUCUCGCCGAGCGAUCUAUAAUUAUUCGGUAUGGGGAUGAUUUGCUGGUAGCUUCAGAAACUGAAGUGUAAUGCAGAAGUGAUGCUUUGGCUUCUCGCCAUUCCUCACCUGGCGGGGACAUACGGCCUCACUAGACAAACUGCAAUAUUGCCAAACUGGGGUCACAUAUUUAGGGAAUUUGUCGUGGAAGUCCACAAAGUGUUAGAAUGCCGGAGUUAGCCAAUUUCUCAGAUGAAAUAGUCAACAACAACAACAACAAAGCAACAAUUUGGGGGACAAGUGACAUAUUCCCCACGGUGGAUUCCAGCUUUUUCAAGAGCGGGCAAAUCCUCUGAUAGACCAACCGACUGAUAAUACUCUAGACCCUUGUGUCGGAUCCCUAGAAUCCGCAGGAAGUUUUUGAACCAUUGAAAUUGGUCACGGUCUCUCCCCACGCUGUGAGGAUUCCAAAUUUUGAAAAAGCUUUCCACGUGAUUUACCAUGGAAACAAAGACACUGACUGCUGGCAGAAUUGAGCUCUGAAUCUGGCAUUUGACUCUAGACCGAUAGCAUUAUUUCUCAGUUCUUCUGGAUGCCUCCACGCCUUGGUGGUAGCAGCCACACUUAUGCAAAGAGCUCAAGCCUUUCUUUGGAUCAUUUGACUUCUGUGUAUGUCCUGGACCGUCUUUUAAGUGCAGAAGCACUGCAGGUGCACGAUCAGACCAGUAAUGUGUCAUCAACGAAAUCAUCUGAGUCAAACAUCUGAGAGGAAUUUUAAAGGCACUAGACUCUUACCAAUGACGACCAAACAGGUGACCUUAUCCAAAAUGUAUCAGAGACGUGCUGUCUGUCGGCAGAAUUCUUUUUGGGCCACUGCCAAGGUGAGCACAGGAGACACUUGGUGGCAGUUCAAUUCCAUAGAAUUGACACCUGUGGAAAGUAAGAGAUCUUUGUCUCGUUAUGUCUGCAGGAUUUGCAGGUGACCUGAUGUCCGCUGUCAUUCAGGAGGCGUGCAAAUCAUGCUGGGAUCUGCCCUGUCCCCUCAGCCCUGAAGACAAGUGGAGUGGAUGAAUCCAACACUGAAAACUUCAUUUAGAAGUCUAUAGGGCCUGGGAGCCAUCUCUUUUCAAUGUCAACAUCAAGGAAGACAAUGCCCCAUCGCCCUGUCACUGUGGGAAUCUAGCUGAGGCAUCUCAACUACCUGCUCGUCGUAGAGAUAGAGGCCAUUAACUCGCACAGAUGGCCACCCCAAUGACCAGGGGAAUGCAGAGUGAACUCUGAAAGCACGUAGAGUGAGCAGGACUGUUGAGUCUCCUCACCCGACAAGUGCUCAUACCUGGGAACAUGCAAACAGGGGUUGUGUCUGCUUGGCUUAUAGGGAAGCAGGAUGGGGAGGGUGCCUAGCUGGCUCAGUCAGUAGAGCAUGUGACCCUCGAUUUGUAAGUUCAGGCCCCACAUCGUGGUUGGUUGUUUGUUUUUUAAUUAAAAAUAAAAUCUUUUUUUUUUUUUUAAAUGGUGGGAUUUCUUUUCUGUCUUAAUAAUUUUAUUUUUUAAAUAGCAGGUCACCUGGGACACAGGCCAGUCUGAGCUCAUGCUUACUCAAAACCAGAACUAUUCCUUUUUGACAUUUGUAGGGAGGGUUUUCUGGGUUGGCAGGUUUUAUUUUUAGAAAUGAAAAUACAGCAGUAUAAGGGUCUGUCUUCAGUGUCACUGUAGAGGAUAGUUUUACCCAAUAUUUCAUCAGGCCAUAAAACGGAUACAGCACUGUGUUUCCUUACUGCCCACCACCCAGCCAGGACUAUUUCAGGUCUUCACCCCAUUUCCAGGAGCAAAUUUCCAUGUUAGUGAGGGUAGGACAGGCUGUGGUGCAGUAAUAAGUAAACCCAGACAUCUCAUUCACUUUGUGCAAGUAGUGUUUCUUCCUUGCUCAGAGCUUGGUUUAUCGCACAUCCGGGCAGUUAGAGGGAUCCCUGGGCCACGUGAUCGAGGGGCUGCUCUAACAACCGCAGAAUGGGAAGCAUACAAACAACAAAUAUCUCUUUCCCACAGU